rnacentral:rRNA from 1 species
GUCUUUUUGAAUUUUAUUUAAAGUCUAAUCUGCCCACUGAUAAAUUUUAUUUAAUGGCCGCAGUAUCUUAACUGUGCAAAGGUAGCAUAAUCAUUAGUCUUUUAAUUGGAGGCUUGUAUGAAUGAUUGGACGAAAUAUAAGCUGUCUUAAUUUUAUAUAUUGAAUUUUAUUUUUUAGUUAAAAAGCUAAAAUUUUUUUAAAAGACGAGAAGACCCUAUAGAUCUUUAUUACUUUUUUAUUUGUUUUUUUAGGUUAUUUUUGGAAAUAAUAUUUAAAGUUAUUUUGUUGGGGUGACAUUGAAAUUAAUUUAACUUUCAUUAAUUAUAAGCCAUUGAUUUAUGAUUUUUUGAUCCUUUAUUAUUGAUUAAAAAUUUAAGUUACCUUAGGGAUAACAGCGUAAUUAUUUUGGAGAGUUCUUAUCGAUAAAAUAGGUUGCGACCUCGAUGUUGGAUUAAGAUUAAUUCUGGGGGUAGUAUUUCAGUUAAUUAAGUCUGUUCGACUUUUAAUUUCUU